CUCCCGGGGCUCGCGUCCUGGUUGUUGGUAAACCACCAAGGAGUCUGAGAGCGUGGAGGCCGCGCGCCCUCUUUCGGUCGGCGGAGGCAUCGCGGUGUCACCUGUGCAGAGCAGGUACCGACCGCGCGGUGGCCCUUGGACGAAGUUCCUCCGGCCUCUCCAGCUUCGCCUUAGACGCAGGGAGGAGUGGACGGCCAGUCUCAUAGUCUUCAUACCCGAAGCCCAAAGCGGAGCUCAAACUCGGGACCAUGAAAUCAAGACCUGAGCCAAGAUCAAGAGUCGGAUGUUCAACCAACUGAGCUACUCAGGUUUCUAAAGUAUUAGAGGAGUUUGAUGUUGAAGAGCAACCGAAAACCAUUUAGAAAAUCACUUUUCCAACAUUAAGGUUAUAAAAUCCGAAGUAAAGCAACUGAAGAGUAAAGAACACGGAAGAAAGACUUCUUGUAACCAGAUUCCCAGAAUGGUUCAUGGCCCUAAAAUGAUGGUUGAUCACUGGACUGGAGACUGCAUUCUCAUGUUUACUUUGAUUUGCAAUCACUGUAGCAAAGUAUUGAGUGCCACCAAGAGGCAACCUUAAUGUAUUUUUUGCUUUCAUCUUAAUGAAUUUUUUACUUAAAAUGAAAUUGUACCUACCCAUGGAUAAAUGUUUCUCCCCUCCCCUUCCUUGCUCUGUGUUUUUACAGUGCAUUUUAACAGGAGAUGGCAGUCAGCAUGUGUAUAAGAAACUGUCUGUGUGCUGGAGCUAAACCAAAGUUGAUAUGUAAAGGAAAUCCUUAGGUAUUAGGAAUCCGUGAUACAGACAGUGCUCAGGAAUUUCAGAAACAGCUUACUAAAGCUAAAAGAAUAAUGAUCAUAGGGAAUGGCGGCAUUGCACUUGAACUGAAGGAAAAAAGAAGCACAGAACAAAGCUGAUGCUGGUAAUAUGGGCAGUACCUUGGGACCAGAUUGGCAUAAAGGCUUGAAUCUUAAAGGUACAAAAGAGUUUGAUCUAGGAGAAGAUGGUGGCCUGAAAGCGGAUGCUCACAUGCACACGUCUGUUUCUGAUGUCCAUGCUGUGGGUGACAUCUGCACUGCAUCCUGGCCGCCCAGCCCAGCCUGGCAGUAGAUGAGGCUGUGGACCCAGGCUAGACAUAUGGGAUGAUAUGCAGCGAAGCGCACGGCUGCAGCUGGUUUAGAAGAAUCUAUUGACAUGAACUUCAGCUUUGAACUUUUUACUUAAGUAACAAAAUUUAACUAUAAGGUAAGCUAGAUAAGCAAAUUAGUGACCUUUUCUGCUUGUUACUCUUAUAACUAAUUAUCUGAUCUUUCUCAUUGAAUAAGAAUUUACAUGGUUUUCAUCAUUUUAGAAAAAAAUCACGUUUUCUCAGUUCUUGCAAAUCAAUUAUUGCUACUCUUAAUUCCUAAUCAUUAACUACCGUCCUGCUAUACUGUUGUAUAGUAAAGGGAAAAAGAAUCUCUUUCAGAUUUGUUGAAAAUCCUUCUUGGCACAUUUCUACAUUUAUUUGAGAUUAAAUCUUGCUUUGUGAGGGGGAUAGCUAUCAUACUCAAGAAUGAACCAGGUACUUUGCCAUAUGUAUUAUUUACUCCUCUUUACUCUGAAUCAAGUUUAUUCUUCAUCAUUUACUCAUGAGGAAGAACAUACACAAGAUUUAAGAAAAUUAAUUUGCUCAUGAAAGAUCUAAUUCUAUUCCUUAUUAAAUCUUUAAUUCAUUGACUCUAGGCUAAUGUAGUCCAGAUCCUACAUAUUUAAUUCACUAGGUAUUUUUAAUGAUCAUAUAGAUUGUGUGGUGGUGUCAUCUAUACAAUAAAUGCAGCGUCAUUCAAAUGUUUUAUUUGUGACCCUCUCCGGUGACACUUAGCUGUAAAAUUUUAUGAAUAUAUUUUUGUGCUGGCCAUUCUAGAAAUAAUACAGUGUUAACUGCUUAUCAUGUUUCCUUUUUAGUACUCACUAGAGGAACUUUAUCAUCUCUGUAUAUAGGUUGUAUUGCAGGGAAAAUAUAACACACAGGGCUUAGAUUCAGAACCUGGACUAAUGCUGAGAUGUACUGAAGGACAAAAAUAUGUCAAAGUCAUCAUUGCAGAAUGGG